UAAUCUUUGACAGAUU
rnacentral:misc_RNA from 1 species